rnacentral:rRNA from 1 species
AGAGUUUGAUCCUGGCUCAGGACGAACGCUGGCGGCGUGCUUAACACAUGCAAGUGGAGCGACGAACCGGGCUUCGGCCCGGGGCAGAGCCGCGAACGGGUGAGUAACACGUGGGUUACCUGCCCUGUUGACAGGGACAACCCCGGGAAACCGGGGCUAAUACCUGAUGUGCCCUUCGGGGGAAAGGAAGCUUCGGCCUCCGCAACAGGAUGGGCCCGCGGCGCAUUAGCUUGUUGGUGGGGUAACGGCCUACCAAGGCGACGAUGCGUAGCUGGUCUGAGAGGACGAUCAGCCACACUGGGACUGAGACACGGCCCAGACUCCUACGGGAGGCAGCAGUGGGGAAUCUUGCGCAAUGCGCGAAAGCGUGACGCAGCAACGCCGCGUGGAGGAAGACGGCUUUCGGGUUGUAAACUCCUUUCAGUUGGGACGAAGCUUCACUGGUUAAGAGCUGGUUGGAGUGACGGUACCUUCAGAAGAAGCCCCGGCUAACUACGUGCCAGCAGCCGCGGUAAUACGUAGGGGGCAAGCGUUGUCCGGAAUCAUUGGGCGUAAAGCGCGUGUAGGCGGCCCAGUAAGUCCGCUCUGAAAGUCCGGGGCUCAACCCCGGGAGGCGGGUGGAUACUGCUGGGCUCGAGUACGGAAGAGGCGAGUGGAAUUCCCGGUGUAGCGGUGAAAUGCGCAGAUAUCGGGAGGAACACCAAUGGCGAAGGCAGCUCGCUGGGACGUUACUGACGCUGAGACGCGAAAGCGUGGGGAGCAAACAGGAUUAGAUACCCUAGUAGUCC